AUUGAACGCUGGCGGCAUGCUUUACACAUGCAAGUCGAACGGUAACAGGCCGCAAGGUGCUGACGAGUGGCGAACGGGUGAGUAAUGCAUCGGAACGUGCCCAGUCGUGGGGGAUAACUACCCGAAAGAGUAGCUAAUACCGCAUACGAUCUAUGGAUGAAAGCGGGGGACCGUAAGGCCUCGCGCGAUUGGAGCGGCCGAUGUCAGAUUAGGUAGUUGGUGGGGUAAAGGCUCACCAAGCCAACGAUCUGUAGCUGGUCUGAGAGGACGACCAGCCACACUGGGACUGAGACACGGCCCAGACUCCUACGGGAGGCAGCCGUGGGGAAUUUUGGGCAAUGGGCGCAAGCCUGAUCCAGCAAUGCCGCGUGCAGGAAGAAGGCCUUCGGGUUGUAAACUGCUUUUGUACGGAACGAAACGGCUCUGGUUAAUACCCGGGGCUAAUGACGGUACCGUAAGAAUAAGCACCGGCUAACUACGUG
rnacentral:rRNA from 1 species